CACUACAUCACAGGAUGAGGUAGGUGACUUGUGAGGUAUAACUACAGGGAAAAUGUGGCCCCAGUUCAGUUGUUAAUUGAUAUUGGUGAAGUGACAACUUUGGAGACCAGUCUUCUAAAAAGAUGCCAAGAAAGCUUCCUAGACGUUUGGGCUCUCUACCCCGCCACCCUCCUCCUGCUCCUCCAGCUCCUCCUGCUCCUCUCUCUUAUUGUUCAAGCUCUCUUCAUUUUAUGCCUACUCAACCUUCUGCCUGUAGACAAACCACAGAGACCAGUUCCAAUUCUGCUUCCCUGACUACUCAUUUGCCUUCUAUGAAGCAUACAGCCACCUACUCCACCUUAAUGGCCUACUCGCCCACCUUUUUCUCUGUUGCCAGAAGUUCCACUAAGUGUCCUGCUCUAGUUUCUCACACUUCUUGUAAUAUCAAGUCUCCCUUCACUCCACCUAACAGCCCCACUGAAUCAUUUCCUAGUCUGUCAUACUCACCAAGAGGACAGCUGCUGUCUGCCGGACUGAAUAAGACACAUUUCGAUCCCAGGAAGGGGAUUUAGCAGAUACAUCUGUUCAUCAUGAAAAACCUCCAAUUUUCAAUGAAACCAGUCCCCUAAGCAUAUGAGAAUGCACAAUAUACGAAAAUAAAGACCUGGUACAUGUAGGUGGAAGUUUUGCAACUUUGACCUGUCAGCAUACCUUGUAUGAAUCUCAACACACAUGAAAAGAAGAACAAUCUUGGCUGGUCCAGCAACAAACACAACUCAGAGCCAUCUGGACACUUCAGAUGGAGGAUCUCCACAGGUUCAGAGAUGCAAGAUGAAUGUGGAAGUUUUGUAGAGAGGAGGCAGAAGAUGAACUAUGAGGAAUGGUGAUGGGGAGCACUUGAAGAUCAUGAACCUGAGCAUGGCCCCUGAGAAGCUAACAUCUACCGCCUAAGCCUGACCUUGCAGGUCACCCUCCAUUCAGUGUGAAGCUAUAUAUUAAAAAAAAGAAAGAAAAGAAAAAGGAAGGCU